rnacentral:rRNA from 1 species
GACAGAGGGUGCAAACGUUGUUCGGAAUUACUGGGCGUAAAGCGCGCGUAGGCGGCUUUGUAAGUUAGAGGUGAAAGCCCGGAGCUCAACUCCGGAACUGCCUUUAAAACUGCAUCGCUUGAAUCCAGGAGAGGUGAGUGGAAUUCCGAGUGUUAGAGGUGAAAUUCGUAGAUAUUCGGAAGAACACCAGUGGCGAAGGCGGCUCACUGGACUGGUAUUGACGCUGAGGUGCGAAAGCGUGGGGAGCAAACAGG